CAGUCGCCACGGUAAUACGAAGGGGGCUAGCGUUGUUCGGAAUUACUGGGCGUAAAGCGCACGUAGGCGGAUAUUUAAGUCAGGGGUGAAAUCCCAGAGCUCAACUCUGGAACUGCCUUUGAUACUGGGUAUCUUGAGUAUGGAAGAGGUAAGUGGAAUUCCGAGUGUAGAGGUGAAAUUCGUAGAUAUUCGGAGGAACACCAGUGGCGAAGGCGGCUUACUGGUCCAUUACUGACGCUGAGGUGCGAAAGCGUGGGGAGCAAACAGGAUUAGAUACCCCCGUAGUCCCUGUCUCUUAUAC
rnacentral:rRNA from 1 species